AUUGAACGCUGGCGGCAGGCCUAACACAUGCAAGUCGGGCGAGCGGCGUACGGGUGAGUAAUGUAUGGGGCUCGUCGUGAGGGAGGAGGUUAACUACUGGGCACGGUAGCUAAUCCCGCCUACCAUCAGCUGAACCCAUAUGGGAUUAGCGUGUAGGUGAGGUAACGGCUCACCUAGGCGACGAUCCCUAGCUGGUCUGAGAGGAUGAUCAGACACACUGGGACUGAGACACGGCCCAGACUCCUACGGGAGGCAGCAGUGGGGAAUAUUGCACAAUGGGCGCAAGCCUGAUGCAGCCAUGCCGCGUGUAUGAAGAAGGCCUUCGGGUUGUAAAGUACUUUCAGUCGGGAGGCGUUACCGACAGAAGAAGCACCGGCUAACUCCGUGCCAGCAGCCGCGGUAAUAC
rnacentral:rRNA from 1 species